rnacentral:rRNA from 1 species
UAGGGAAUCUUCGGCAAUGGACGAAAGUCUGACCGAGCAACGCCGCGCGAGUGAAGAAGGUUUUCGGAUCGUAAAACUCUGUUGUUAGAGAAGAACAAGGACGUUAGUAACUGAACGUCCCCUGACGGUAUCUAACCAGAAAGCCACGGCUAACUACGUGCCAGCAGCCGCGGUAAUACGUAGGUGGCAAGCGUUGUCCGGAUUUAUUGGGCGUAAAGCGAGCGCGGGCGGUUUCUUAAGUCUGAUGUGAAAGCCCCCGGCUCAACCGGGGAGGGUCAUUGGAAACUGGGAGACUUGAGUGCAGAAGAGGAGAGUGGAAUUCCAUGUGUAGCGGUGAAAUGCGUAGAUAUAUGGAGGAACACCAGUGGCGAAGGCGGCUCUCUGGUCUGUAACUGACGCUGAGGCUCGAAAGCGUGGGGAGCAAACAGG